rnacentral:rRNA from 1 species
UGGGGAAUAUUGGACAAUGGGGGCAACCCUGAUCCAGCCAUGCCGCGUGUGUGAAGAAGGCCUUCGGGUUGUAAAGCUCUUUCAGCGGGGAAGAUAAUGACGGUACCCGCAGAAGAAGCCCCGGCUAACUUCGUGCCAGCAGCCGCGGUAAUACGAAGGGGGCUAGCGUUGUUCGGAAUUACUGGGCGUAAAGGGCGCGUAGGCGGAUUUGCAGGUUAGGGGUGAAAUCCGGGCUCAACCCCGGAACUGCCUCUAAAACUGCUAAUCUAGAGUUCGGGAGAGGUGAGUGGAAUUCCGAGUGUAGAGGUGAAAUUCGUAGAUAUUCGGAGGAACACCAGUGGCGAAGGCGGCUCACUGGCCCGAAAACUGACGCUGAGGCGCGAAAAGCGUGGGGAGCAAACAGGAUUAGAUACCC